AAGACCUUGCACUUUUGGAGCGGCCGGUGUCUGAUUAGCUAGUUGGUGGGGUAAAGGCCUACCAAAGCUUCGAUCAGUAGUUGGUCUGAGAGGACGGCCAGCCACACUGGGACUGAGACACGGCCCAGACUCCUACGGGAGGCAGCAGUGGGGAAUUUUGGACAAUGGGCGCAAGCCUGAUCCAGCCAUGCCGCGUGAGUGAAGAAGGCCUUCGGGUUGUAAAGCUCUUUCAGCCGGGAAGAAAAGGUUGCGACUAAUAAUCGCAAUCCAUGACGGUARCGAKAGAAGAAGCACCGGCUAACUACGUGCCAGCAGCCGCGGUAAUACGUAGGGUGCGAGCGUUAAUCGGAAUUACUGGGCGUAAAGGGUGCGCAGGCGGUUUUGUAAGUCAGAUGUGAAAUCCCCGGGCUUAACCUGGGAACU
rnacentral:rRNA from 1 species